rfam:Morus notabilis contig17559, whole genome shotgun sequence.
AUACCGUGUUGAGGACACUUGCGGAGCAUCUCUUUAAACUGUUCCCACGCCUCAUAUAAUUGUUCAUACUCAAACUGCCGAAAUUGAGUAAUCUCGGCCCUCAGUUG